UACAGAGGGUGCGAGCGUUGUUCGGACUUACUGGGCGUAAAGCGCGCGCAGGCGGCUCUUUAAGUCUGACGGUGAAAUGCCGGGGCUCAACCCCGUGCCCGCCGCGGAUACUGGAGGGCUGGAGACACGUAGAGGCAAGCGGAAUUCCGGGUGUAGCGGUGGAAUGCGUAGAGAUCCGGAAGAACACCGGAGGCGAAGGCGGCUUGCUGGGCGUAGUCUGACGCUGAGGCGCGAAAGCGGGGGGAGCGAACAGG
rnacentral:rRNA from 1 species